GAAGAGUAGCCCUAAGCUAACAGCUGCCGCCGAUCCUUCUCUUCUUGCUGAGGAAGAUUGGCCCUGAGCUAACAUCUGUGGCCAAAUUCCUCUUUUUUUUAAUAUGUGGGACACCUGCCACAGCAUGGCUUGACAAGCGGUGUAUAGGUCCACACCCGGGAUCCAAACUGGCGAACCCCAGCUGCCAAAGCAGAACGUGUGAACUUAACUGCUGCACCGCUGGGCCAGCUCCUAAGGGACUUUUUUAGGACACAAACAGAAAUUGAUUUUGAAGUUGUUUUUCACCUUCUGGCAUAACUAUGCCUUCUUAACCGUUAAAGCUUCAAUAAAAAUCUGAAUAUGUAACGACUUCUUGUUAACGAUGCUUUAGGACAGUGGAUCUCAACUCGUGUGUGUGUGUGUGUGUGUGUGUGUGUGUGAGAGAGAGAGAGAGAGAGAGAUUGUCACCAGGCAGACUGAGAAAAUCCCAAUGGCCAGUCUGCACUCGGACCAAUAAUAUCAGAAGCUCUGGGGGUAGCAUUAGUAUUUUUUAAAGUCCUCCAGAUAAUUUGAAAAAUGUGUGGCCAAGGUUGUUAAUUGCUGCUUAGGAAAAUGAAAGAAGGAGAGAGGUGUGGAGCUCAGGGCAAAGAGUUCAAGCAACAAGGCGGAGGUUGCUUGUGAAGUUGACCAUGAGUACACCAAGCAGGCCGCAGCCUCUGGGCAAAGCCUCUUGACCCAGGAAGCUUGUAAAAGAGGACAGACUUGAGAUAAACUCUGGUCCUUAUUGUCAACAUCCAUUGUCACUGAUAUUUCCCUCGAGUUGAUCUAACUUUGAUUUUUCUGUCAAUUUGGAGCUUGACUCCCUUCCAAAGACAAUGGAGUCUGGCUGCUGACCAGGAGCUGCGAAACUGCCCCUCUUACCCAUCUCCAGCCACGUGGUUUCUGGACAUCUUCCCUGGGGAGAGGACAGUCAAUAGCUGUGAAGGAAACACAUCAGUGAAGGUAGCUGUGCGUAGCUGAGCGCUCACUGGAGAGACAGGCCGUCAGAUGAGAGAUUGGCGUCAAGUAGUAAACGGCAACCAAAGGAGUCACAUAAGAUCACUGUCCAAACCCAAUGGAGAAUGGAACCAACCCAGCGCCUGAGAAGGAAGUCUUCUGAGCACGGAGCAUCUGGAAAGGAAGCAGAGAGGACAUGAUGCUCCUGUGGCCUUGGCAGCUCUGAGGGGACAUGGACAACUCUGGUGUAGCAGCUGUUAAGUAGCAGAGAAAAAUGUCAUCUUGAGGCCAGAAGAACAUGUGAGCCAUGCCUGGGCCACGGAAAGAAACUAGCCGGGGGGCAAUGGGCUUGAGAGUCACCACCAGAAUCAGCACAAAACAACAUAAGGAUAAUGAAGAUGAUGACAAUAGUUUACAAAUAUAGAAUUUAUAAUAAUGUAAUAGUUUAUAAUAGCAUGUAAUGACCAUGGGCCAGGCAUCGGGUUCAGCUCUUGAU
ensembl:lncRNA